rnacentral:rRNA from 1 species
UGGGGGGUAUUGCACAAUGGGCGGAAGCCUGAUGCAGCGACGUCGCGUGAGGGAUGGAGGCCUUCGGGUUGUGAACCUCUUUCUCCGGUGGUGAAGGCCCUGUCCGUUGCGGCGGGGUUGACGGUAGCCGGGUAUGAAGCGCCGGCUAACUACGUGCCAGCAGCCGCGGUAAUACGUAGGGCGCGAGCGUUGUCCGGAAUUAUUGGGCGUGAAGGGCUUGUAGGCGGCCGGUCGCGUCCGCCGUGAAAUUCUCCGGCUCAACCGGGGGCUUGCGGUGGGUACGGGCCGGCUGGAGUGCGGUAGGGGAGGCUGGAACUCCUGGUGUAGCGGUGGAAUGCGCAGAUAUCAGGAGGAACACCGGUGGCGAAGGCGGGUCUCUGGGCCGUUACUGACGCUGAGGAGCGAAAGCGUGGGGAGCGAACAGGAUUAGAUACCCUGGUAGUCCACGCCGUAAACGUUGGGCACUAGGUGUGGGGCCCCGCUCGGCGGGGGUCCGCGCCGCAGCUAACGCAUUAAGUGCCCCGCCUGGGGAGUACGGCCGCAAGGCU